GUUCACGUAGCUCAGUUGGAUAGAGCGCUUCCCUCCGAAGGAAGAGGUCGUGGGUUCGACUCCCGUCGUGGACACCA
rnacentral:tRNA from 1 species